GGGCAGGGUAGCCUAGUGGUUAGAGUGUAGAGGUGGCAGGUAGCCUAGUGGUUAGAGUGUAGAGGGGGCAGGGUAGCCUAGUGGUUAGAGUGUAGAGGUGGCAGGGUAGCCUAGUGGUUAGAGUGUAGAGGGGGCAGGGUAGCCUAGUGGUUAGAGUGUAGAGGCGGCAGGGUAGCCUAGUGGUUAGAGUGUAGAGGGGGCAGGGUAGCCUAGUGGUUAGAGUGUAGAGGGGGCAGGGUAGCCUAGUGGUUAGAGUGUAGAGGGGGCAGGGUAGCCUAGUGGUUAGAGUGUAGAGGGGGCAGGGUAGCCUAGUGGUUAGAGUGUAGAGGAGGCAGGUAGCCUAGUGGUUAGAGUGUAGAGGGGGCAGGGUAGCCUAGUGGUUAGAGUGUAGGGGAGGCAGGUAGCCUAGUGGUUAGAGUGUAGAGGAGGCAGGUAGCCUAGUGGUUAGAGUGUAGGGGAGGCAGGUAGCCUAGUGGUUAGAGUGUAGGGGCGGCAGGUAGCCUAGUGGUUAGAGUGUAGAGGAGGCAGGUAGCCUAGUGGUUAGAGUGUAGAGGGGGCAGGGUAGCCUAGUGUUUAGAGUGUAGAGGUG
ensembl:lncRNA